rnacentral:rRNA from 1 species
CAGUCGCCGCGGUAAUACGUAGGUGGCAAGCGUUGUCCGGAAUUAUUGGGCGUAAAGGGCUCGCAGGCGGUUUCUUAAGUCUGAUGUGAAAGCCCCCGGCUCAACCGGGGAGGGUCAUUGGAAACUGGGAAACUUGAGUGCAGAAGAGGAGAGUGGAACUCCACGUGUAGCGGUGAAACGCGUAGAGAUGUGGAGGAACACCAGUGGCGAAGGCGACUCUCUGGUCUGUAACUGACGCUGAGGAGCGAAAGCGUGGGGAGCGAACAGGAUUAGAUACCCCCGUAGUCCCUGUCUCUUAUAC